rnacentral:siRNA from 1 species
CGGUUCGGUUUCGGUUCGGGU